UACGUAGGGGGCAAGCGUUGUCCGGAAUUAUUGGGCGUAAAGAGCGCGUAGGCGGGGAUGUAAGUCGGGCGUGAAAUCCCCAGGCUCAACCUGGGAACUGCACUCGAAACUGCGUUUCUUGAGUAUCGGAGAGGAAAGCGGAAUUCCUGGUGUAGAGGUGAAAUUCGUAGAUAUCAGGAGGAACACCAGUGGCGAAGGCGGCUUUCUGGACGGUAACUGACGCUGAGGCGCGAAAGCGUGGGGAGCAAACAGG
rnacentral:rRNA from 1 species